GACGCGGAAGGUAUUAAACUGAUAAAAAUAGUACUAAACACUCCACUCCUAUCUGGUGUCACAUUAGCUUGACCGCGCAGUGCCCUAAAUUUGCAGUAAGAGGACCGACCAAGGCUCUUCUUCCAUCUCCCUGUUACAAAAAUCAAUGCCGUGUACACGACCACUGAUAGGAGACGUGGAAGGUAUUAAACUGAUCAGAACAAUACUAAACACACCACUCCUAUCUGGUGGCACAUUAGCUUGACCGCGCAGUGCCCCAAAUUUGCAGUAAGAGGACCGACCAAGGCUCUUCUUCCAUCUCCCUGUUACAAAAAUCAAUGCCGUGUACACGCCCACUGAUAGGAGACGCGGAAGGUAUUAAACUGAUC